rnacentral:rRNA from 1 species
GUAGGUGGCAAGCGUUGCCCGGAAUUAUUGGGCGUAAAGCGCGCGCAGGCGGGUCCUUUAAGUCUGAUGUGAAAGCCCACGGGCUCAACCGUGGAGGGUCAUUGGAAACUGGGGGACUUGAGUACAGAAGAGGAAAGCGGAAUUCCAAGUGUAGCGGUGAAAUGCGUAGAGAUUUGGAGGAACACCAGUGGCGAAGGCGGCUUUCUGGUCUGUAACUGACGCUGAGGCGCGAAAGCGUGGGGAGCAAACAGGAUUAGAUACCCUGGUAGUCCACGCCGUAAACGAUGAGUGCUAAGUGUUAGGGGGUUUCCGCCCCUUAGUGCUGCAGCUAACGCAUUAAGCACUCCGCCUGGGGAGUACGGCCGCAAAGGCUG